UAAUACGGGGGGUGCAAGCGUUAUUCGGAAUUACUGGGCGUAAAGAGCGCGUAGGCGGUCUUUUAAGUCGGAUGUGAAAGCCCGGGGCUCAACCCCGGAAGUGCAUUCGAAACUAAGGGACUUGAGUAUGGGAGAGGGAAGUGGAAUUCCUGGUGUAGCGGUGAAAUGCGUAGAUAUCAGGAGGAACACCGGUGGCGAAGGCGACUUCCUGGACCAAUACUGACGCUGAGGCGCGAAGGCGUGGGGAGCAAACAGGAUUAGAUACCCUGGUAGUCCACGCAGUAAACGGUGAACACUAGGUGUAGCGGGUAUUGACCCCUGCUGUGCCGCAGCAAACGCAUUAAGUGUUCCGCCUGGGGAGUACGGCCGCAAGGUUA
rnacentral:rRNA from 1 species